UACGAAGGUGGCAAGCGUUGUUCGGAUUUACUGGGCGUACAGGGAGCGUAGGCGGUUGGAUAAGCCCUCCGUGAAAUCUCCAGGCUUAACCUGGAAAGUGCAGACGGGGACUGUUCAGCUAGAGGAUGGGAGAGGAGCGCCGGAACUCCCGGUGUAGCGGUGAAAUGCGUAGAGAUCGGGAGGAACACCAGUGGCGAAGGCGGCUGACCUGGACCAGCACUGACACUCAGGCACGAAAGCGUGGGGAGCAAACAGG
rnacentral:rRNA from 1 species